CAAAACAAUUUUGCGAGGUAACACAAAGAUAUUUCGAGGUAACACAAAGAUAUUUCGAGGUAACACAAAAGAACAAAAAUGUCUCCAUGUCCCCCCAGGCUCUGUAAGUCUUGACCUAAACUAUCGAGGACUCACAUUCCAGAGUCCAUUCUCAUUAUUUAUACAGGUCAAAGAAGUGACGCCUGUCUCAGUCUUUAAAUUAUCUUUGAAUGGAAAUAUAAUUUGAUCCAAAUUAAUUAUUAUGGAAACAAAUCUGAUCCAGCAGCUUCUUGUCAAGUCAGAUGGUUUUGGUUGGUUGUUGCCUUGGUUUGGGACUAAAAGGUUCAAAAGCUAAAACUCAUUCUGCUUCCUAAACUUAGUAUCUCACUGGACUGCAACUGUUGGUGACUUAAAGUAGCAGAAAAAUAAAAAGAUAGAAAACAUAA